CCGUCGGCGGCUCCCGUUCGGGGUCGGUGGUGUGGGGCCCUUCUCCAGUGUCAGGAUAUCUUGUUCUCUCUGGCAGUAUGGCAUUCUUCAGUUUGUCAGGUGAAGCGGGAGUGCUGUCUGUUGGUUUGUAGUUUCAACAGGUGGUCAUUCAGAAGUGUGGCAUUUCUGUGUGGGUUAAGAAGCCCACUGUGAAGUUUGCAGCUCUUCAGGUAUGUGGGAAGAAACAGAAAGGUUCGUGUCCUUGAGAGGCUUGAAUGCUUACUUUGAGUUGAAGGUGGUCAUCCAAAGAGUGAAGCUGCCAUCUUCUUCUGGAGAGCGUGGACAAUAAAUGUGCUAAACCCUUUGUGUUGCUUGUGGUGUUGUGUCAUAGAAACAUAGAAUCCCAGGGCUGGAAGGGAUCUGCAAGAUCCUCUAUUUGACCCCGUCCUUCCAUUUCUGUUGCUACCACAGGCUGCUAACCCAUUUCUCCUAGCUCCUCAUACUGAUGCCUCUCAAACAGUGCCAGGGACAGUGACUCCAGUUGGCAGGGCAUUGCAGCUCUUGACCCAGCUUUGACAGACGGAGUUUUUCCUUCUGCAUAUUUUAAAUGCACUCUGGUAGGAUUUGUGGCAUUUCCUUGGGUCUUGUUUGUUGCUUGUGUGAAGAGGCCAAACUUCCUCCAAGCUUCCGCUCACAACAUCUGCGCAGUCUGUUGUGGAGUACGAUGAAGUUCUCUGUGGGACUCCUGUUUUCUGGACUGAAUAAUUGUAUGUCUUUCAGAUGCUCCUUAUAAGACUUGUAGUUCUGACCCAUCACAAGUUUUGUUGCCAUCACUGGGAGAUGUUCGAGGUCACAUACGUCUUUGUUGCAGCAAGGGGCCUGAAACUGAACAGAGCAGUACAGGUGCAGUCUCACCAGUUGUGAGUAC
ensembl:lncRNA